UCCCACCCAUGGGUGUACAAAAUUGGAGCUUUUAUCCACAGGAAUGGAACUUGGAUUCAUCCUUUGCCUGGGUCUAUUAGUGUCUUUUCAUCAAUGCAUCAUUGUUCCAUUGGGACAACCAUACAGUAACCAAAAAUGUUGGCUGAAGAUCAGGGACUAUAUUACACACACAAUAUACUGUGUAUAUAUAUACGCACACACACACGAUAUUGUGUAUGUACAUAUACACCCACACAUACACACACGAUUAUAUUUUCCUGAAGUAGCUUCAGAACAGCUUCAGAGCCAUGAAGGUGAAAGGCAGUCUUUCGUUAUAAUGUUGGGGGACUUUAGGCCUCAGAAGACAGAACUGCUCUCUCUGACCUUCUUCAUCUACCUUUCACCUGCUUCUUUUUCUCCCCAAGGCAGGCUGUAGAAAUGAAAGAUAUAUUCUAAUUUCCCCCCAUCUUUCUGUCUUGGAGCUAGCCAUAAAGAAAUUCUCUGACUUAUCUAAUUGCAGGUCAUAAAAUCCUCAUUUCAGAGGGGUCUUGCCCCAUUCCCUGGAGGAAGGACUGCUGCACGGAGAGGCUAAGAAGAAUCUGAACAGACAGGCCUUGCUGGGUUUCCCCACUCAGUCUAUUAGUAUUAGAUUAUACCCUUUUUGUCUAAUCACAUUUCUACACAGUUGUCCUUAUACCAAUC
rnacentral:lncRNA from 1 species